GACUUUUAAAAAACCUCCCACCGAUAUGAACAGAAUGUUCAGUCCUCAAAACUCUGCUAAAGAUAUUGUAAUAUUUUCAUAAUGAAUAGUGCUUGGUCUUUAUCAAACUUUCAAGUUUCACUUUAGAUCAAAGUGACGACUAAAAAGCAUAAAGCAUGCUGGUUCUGACCUCUGGACAGUGCUUGCAACGCCUCCAGGGCUGGUUUGAGCAUCGAGAGCGAGGCUGGAACUCCUUGUUCUUCCUUUUUUUUCUUUAGUCUGGCAGCCAUUUUACAGACGUCAGCCAUGCCUGGAUUCAGGCCGAUGGUCCUCAGGAGGGUUCUCACCUUCUCGCAUUCCUCUGAAGAGACUUUUGUCGUGCCAGAAGCAGCGGGCUGCUCGCUAGCAGGCACGGCAUGCGCUUUGGGUUCCUGGAGACUGAGAGUCUGGUGUUCUUUACUGAGAUGAUGAACCGGAGACCUCGCAGAUCUUGUCUGGGCCAACGGAACCGUCACAGCCUGAGGAUAAGAUGUUGGAAAAGCUGCCGCUGUCUCCGCCAGCCCUCUCGUGAGGAAGCAGGGAACCGUAGCAGAGUUCAGCAGAGAUUUCAGGUUCUGGGUUGUGGAAGCCUCUAACUGCAGACUGAUUUGCCAGAAACAUUCCCCUUGUGUCAUCAGUAUUCUGUUUAGAAGACAAGGGAAGAAAAUUCACAUUACAUGUAGAGAAAAUGAUGGGAGUUUAAAUGGUCUGGAAGUCAACGAGACAAAAUAAACGGCAAUCAUAAGAAUCGACAACAAAGAAGAAAAAGUCUGUUAAAAAUCUAGUAUUGUGCUAAGCUCCUAGGUGUACUCUUUGCAUUCAAGUUGGUUUAAAGUUCAAAUUUACUGACUGUAAAAGUGUCAAGUAAAAGGUAUGAAUAUAUUUCACAUUGAACACAUCUUAAUCAUUAUUUAAAAAACAUGUUUAAAUAUAUUUUUGAUAGUAAAAUGUAUUUAUUUUACAAAUAUGAAUUUUAAAUCACUAAUAAGUGUUUUUUUUUUUUUAACAUUAAUAAAGGGUUAUGUCAAACCAUUCAAGCGAUUCAAGAAUUUUCAAAAGAUCCAAAAAUAUACAUUUUU
ensembl:lncRNA